AUGGCGCAGCCCGACGAGGGCAACGAGGCACUGGAUCGGGAGACCACCUCUCUGCCCACGGCUACUCCAAUCAGGCAAUUUCCGACGACUGAGACUAAUGGCCAUCCCUCGAUGAGCAGCACACCGGCGGCCUCUGCUCUAGAAUCCUCUCUGCCCACAGCUACUCCAACCAUGCAAUUGCCAAGAACUGAGACUAAUGGCCAGCCGAGAAUGAGCAACACACCAGUGAAUAAUCAAGACAUACAAGAUGCAGAUAAUACUCCAAGAGUUGGGAAGUGCUUUCAGUCAGAAGAAGAGGCGUACCAAUUUUACAAUUCUUAUGCUCAAACCAAGGGAUUUAGCAUUAGGAAGUGCCACUUGAAGUUUAGAGCAGAUGGGACUUUAAGUUCCAGAUAUUUUGUUUGUAGCAAGGCAGGUGUGAAAAAUGCUAAUCCAACACAUGUGGCCAAGAAAGAACAAGCUAUUUCGAGGACUAAUUGUAUGGCUCGAGUUCAAUUCCGCAUCAAUCAAGAGGGAAUUUGGAUUGCUCAGAAAGUUACGCUCGACCACAAUCACCAGCUUGUAAGUCCAGAUAAGAGGCACAUGCUUAGAUCUCAGCGUCAACUCUUAGAUGCCGAUCGCCACAUGAUUAAGCAAAUGAGGACAUCGGGAAUUAAACAAGCCGAAAUAUAUGAUUUUUGCGAGCUUUGGUAUGGUAAAGAUGCUAUACCCUUCUUGCAAAUGGAUUGCAACAAUUAUUUGCGAAGUGAGCGCUCAAAGUAUUUGGAAACCAAAGAUGCACAAACAUUAAUGGAGUAUCUAAAGAAAAAGCAAGCUGAGGACCCUUCGUUUUUCUAUGCCAUGCAGUUAGAUGAUGAUGAUGGUACAAUAAUGAACAUCUUUUGGACUGAUGGACAAGCUAUCAUGGACUAUUCUGUCUUUGGAGAUGCCCUUUCCUUUGACACCACAUUUUCAACAAAUAAGUUUCAAAUGCCAUUUGCUCCGUUUAUUGGUGUUAAUCAUCACAAGCAGACUAUUCUUUUUGGUGCAGCACUACUAUCUAAUGAAUCUGCAGAUACCUUUGAGUGGGUUUUUAGAACCUUUCUACAAGCUAUGUCUGGUAAGCAGCCUGAAACAAUAUUUACCGAUCAAUGUGCCGCCAUUAUAAAUGCUAUUGGAAGGGUUUUCCCAAAAACACGGCAUCGUCUUUGUUUAUGGCAUUUGUAUCAAAAUGCUGCAAAACAUCUAAGUCAAGUAAUCAGCGACAAUGAUAAUUUUCUUAAAGAAUUCAAAAGGUGUGUGUAUGAAGAUAGAUCACUGGCACAUUUUGAGAAUAGAUGGCAUGAGCUAUUGCUUAAGUAUCAGAUUGAGGAUAAUUCUUGGAUAAGAAAUCUGUACAAGUUGCGUGAGAAGUGGGCUACUAUCUAUCGGCGGGAUUCUUUUAGUGCAUAUAUGACAUCAACCCAAAGGAGUGAAGGAAUGAACAACGUGUUCAAGAAAACUUUCCGCAAAAGGCUUUGUCUUUCUGAAUUGAUAGAAGCAUAUGAUAAGUGCAUUGCUCGUCUUCGCCGGAAAGAAAAAUACGAAGACUACAAGUCACGCCAUACCAUUCCAGUACCCUGCCUACCAAACCUACCUUUGUUGAAGACUGCGGCUGAAUCAUAUACUAGGACACUCUAUUCUGAGUUUCAAGAGGAAUUUAAGAAGCAAUUCAGUUUAUCAUGUAUUUUCCUGAGCACCGAUGGCACAAUUAGCACUUACAAGGUGACAUCUUUCGAGUACAAGAAUGAUGAAGCCAUAGUGGCUUUCAACCCAGCUACUUUGGAGAUAUCUUGUUCAUGCAAAUUGUAUGGUUGUGUAGGUAUAUUGUGCAAGCACGCUCAUAAGGUUUUCACAUGCUGCAACAUCAUCAUCCUGCCAAGUCAGUACAUAUCGAACAGAUGGACGAAGUAUGCAAAACAAGAAAUUUUUACAUCAAAACUGAAUUGCAAUGAUAGCUUAGAAUCCAUGUUUGCACAUACUAGUCGAAAGAUGAUUUCACUUGCAUUGAAGUGCAAAACAUCAAAGGAGGUUCUUACACAUCUCAACAAUGGUAUUGAUAAGUUGGCUUUGGAAGCACUAGAAUUACUUAGCAAUUUAAACUUGGGUGAAGAUGAGGACUCUAAAAGUUCCUCCGAAAUGACUGGAUAUGUUGCAAAAACAAUGGUGCCAUUUAGAGCUCCUGAACGAAUAAAAGGUUCAAAGCAAAAAAGAUCAAAAGAUGUGCUAGAGGGAGCAAAGAAAGGCAAAAAAAGGAAAAGGUACAAACUAUCCAGCAAAGGAGUCCGUGUUUGUUCCGUCCGCAGCUGGCCCUUCGGAAUAUGA
rnacentral:rRNA from 1 species